UACAGAGGGUGCAAGCGUUGUUCGGAAUUAUUGGGCGUAAAGCGCGUGUAGGCGGCAUUGCAAGUCGGGUGUGAAAGCCCUCAGCUUAACUGAGGAAGUGCGCCCGAAACUGCAGUGCUUGAGUACCGGAGAGGAUGGCGGAAUUCCCCAAGUAGAGGUGAAAUUCGUAGAUAUGGGGAGGAACACCGGUGGCGAAGGCGGCCAUCUGGACGGAUACUGACGCUGAGACGCGAAAGCGUGGGUAGCAAACAGG
rnacentral:rRNA from 1 species